rnacentral:rRNA from 1 species
GACGAACGCUGGCGGCGCGCUUCAAGCAUGCAAGUCGAACGAGACCCCCGGGCUUGCCCGGGGGGAGAGUGGCGAACGGGUGAGUAACACGUGAGGAACCUGCCCCGAAGACCGGGAUAACGCCGGGAAACUGGUGCUAAUACCGGAUGCCGUCGCCGGCUCGCAUGGUCCGACGCGGAAAUGGCUUCCGAUUCGGGAUGGCCUCGCGUCCUAUCCGCUUGGUGGUGGGGUAACGGCCUACCAAGGGAGCGCCGGGUAGCUGGUCUGAGAGGAGGUACAGCCACACUGGGACUGAGACACGGCCCAGACUCCUACGGGAGGCAGCAGCUAGGAAUCUUGCGCAAUGGACGAAAGUCUGACGCAGCGACGCCGCGUGCGGGAUGAAGGCCCUAGGGUCGUAAACCGCUUUCAGCAGGGACGAAAAUGACGGUACCUGCAGAAGAAGCCCCGGCCAACUACGUGCCAGCAGCCGCCGUAACAC